rnacentral:misc_RNA from 1 species
AGUGGAAAGUAUGAUUCAGCAUUCAAACGAGUUGAGAAGUAUAUAGAGGCAAGAAAGGAAUCAGACCGAAAAUUUGAUACCCAAUAUCAGCGUAAAAUUGCUGAAGCACUAGAUAAUCACUUAACUGCAAUCCAGCGAGAUCAUGAACUCAAAUCACAAAUAGAAGAAAGGAGAAUAAGAAGUGAUGCAGCUCAUGAAGAGGCUAAGAGAAAGGAAAAGGCUUUGCAAGAAGAAAGAAUACGUCAAGAGAGAGCUAAAGCAGAGGCAGAGGCUAAACAUAAAGCUGAGGAAGCAAAAAUGGUUGCUCUAGAAGCAGAGAGGAAAACAGUGCAGGAAGCUGCCCGGAAGGAAGCUGCUGAAGCAUCAAAAAGGGUAGCUGCUUUAGUCCCACAAGGAGAUGCUGCCAGACAACAAGUAAAUGUUAGUU